AGCUGAACCCCGUUCGGGGACACCGAGGCUGAAGAGAAGCAGCUGAAGAGACCUCUCAGCAGCAGCCGCAGCCAGAGGCCGUAUAUUGCUCCUGCCUGCUCUCCCACUGGAUCCCCUGACCUCUAGACUGCGAUCCUCCUUUUCAGCUACAGGUAAAGUAUGUUCAGCGCAGCAGAAGAGGAGGCAACUCGGCCACAGAGCAAACCCGCCAGCCCGUCGCGCCGCCGGUGCCUUUAAGGGACGUCGGAGCUGCAGAAAUCGCCACAGGAGGUUUGCAGGUGCUGUAAGGUGAAAGCGGGGAGGGGGAGCUGCCCUUAAAAACUCCUCCGGACGAGGUCGGCACUCGCCCGUGCUGCGCUCUUCUGGACGCCCACGGCGACGCAGGUCGUAGCCGGAGCCUCUCAUCUUUGCGGCGGGCUCGCACCGCGCCUUCUCGGGCUGCGCUCCUUCCUCUGCCGCGCUGCUUCUUUUCCUCCUCCCGGGAGUCUCGGGGCAGGUGAGUGUCUGACAGUGGGGCGGGGGACCUGCUUUGGAGUUCGGAGCCCCUCUUACCCCCCCCCCCACUCGCCUCUGGCUCUCCGGCCCAACUUGGCCGUCGCGGGUCCUCAAAGUGAGAAACCGCCGUGGAUUCCCGAGGAGGGCGGGGUGUUUCGCGGGGUGGAGCAGCUGCUGGCCAGCCUUGAAGUCCCGGUAUUUCCAGUCCCGGGCGGGACGAAGGGAAGCCCGUCUGUGGGGAGGAGGCCGCCGAGCUCGACGGACCCGGGGUCUGCCUUGGGCGGAAGGGCGACUUUGUGUGGCCAGUACGUGCUGGGGCUGAGCCCGGGCGACGAAGGCACCCGCGUGUCCCACCCCCGGCCCCCCAAAGUGCCUUUCCUGGGGCGGGGCAUCCACUUUGCAAUUCCCCUUCGGCGCCCAUCUUUCGCUUUCCAUUUAUUUUUUUAUUUGGGAUUCGGAAGGAAGCCCGCUCUUCUGGCCGCGUUUCUCCCGGGUGAGAACGCGCUGCAGUCUACUGCGGUUGUCUGCAACUUUCUCUUUUCCUUUCCAGGCGCUCCAGCCCGGCGCCAAGUGGCUUCCGGAGAGUUCCGGGGCAGGUGAGUUCCUGCUGGCGGGGGGCGGGCGUGCGGGUGUACGCGGCGCAGGCGGCGGGUCCGGUGGGGUGGGAUGGCAACUGUGCAGCGGUGAGCAGCUCCGGAAGCUUGCGCACCUUCAGAUCCCCCCAGUUGGCUUCUGGCUCUCGGCCCCAGGUGGUGGGGGCUUCUGGGGACGUCUGGUCGGCUCUGGACAUCAGAGUCCUCAAGGAAGGUUGAACUGAAGUGCCCGUCUGUGGGGACGGACCCGGGGUCUGCCUGGGUGGGAAAGGCGACUUUUCUGGCCAGUAGGUGCUGGGGCUGAGCCCGGGCAUAGCCUCGAGGAAGGCACAGGAAGAACAGGAUGCCGGCCGUGAUGGUCCUCCCCCCUCCCUCCUCGGCGGCUGUGCUUUGGCUGAAAGGCUUCUAGGUCGCUUCAGGUAUGAACUGCCCGCUCGUCUCACUAGGGGGCGCUCGAGGGUCGCCUUCCUCCUUUCCGCCUGCCUUACCUUGCUUGGACCGCAGCCUCGUUCUGCUCAGGGCCUGAUCCUGCAGGGACUUUAUGUAGAGCCAGUGCCGAAUUUACGCAUAAACUAAGCAAGCUAUAGCUUAGGGCCCCACUCUCUUGCCCCCCCCCAAAAAAAAACUAAAGAAAAAAAUGGAUGUAAAUUUCCAAAAUAUAAGAUUAAAAAAAAAACCCCUACAUACAGCAACAGUGUUUUAUGUUGUGUAGGCUCCUAUUUAUGUGAAAAUGGCUUUAGAUACCUAUUUGGUCCAUAAAUUACCAUAUAGCAGGGUCGGCAACCUAAGGCCCAUGGGCCACAAGCGGUCGACAUGGGUCGUUUAACCGGCCCACAACCGCCCCCGAACCGAGCCGCCCGCUUGGCGAGUCCCCGUGCGCUGUGCUAAACGGGCGCAGCACGGCUCAGGGACUCACUUCUGCGGUGCCGGAAAUUGCACACAUGCUCAGAUGCUGAAAAUCAUGUCUGCGCACAUGCAGACACCAGAAAUCAUGUCUGCGCAGGUCAUGGGGCUCUUUAUAUGUCCAGCUGUCCUUUGUCAACAACAAAUUGUGGCUAUUUUUUGUGCUGAAUAUGUGCUAUAUGGUAACUUAUGGACUUAAUAGGUAUCUAAAGCCAUUUGCACAUAACAAAAUGUUUUUUAUCAAAGUAAGUGAACUUAUCUUAUAUUUUGGAAAUGUACAUCCAGUUGUUUUUUUCCUUUAAAUUUUUUUUGGGGGGGCCCAAGAGAGUGGGGGCCCUAUACUAUAGUUUGUUUAGCUUAUACAUAAAUCCGGCACUGGGAGAGAGUGCCACAGUUGAAUUAUGAGCUGGUGUAUUCUUAAGAUUGGAUACUCAGAGUCCGUUGUGCACCAGUCAUAAUCCUGUAAGGUAGGCCGACAUUGGUGUGGAUUGCCCCCAAUUAUGGCUCAGAGUGGUGGCUUCUGAAUUAUGGGUUCAAUUGUAUCUCUGAAUCUGUGGAACUCUCUGCUGCAAGAUGGUGGUGCUUGCCACCAACCUAGAUGGCUUUAAAAGGAGAACAAAGCAUGUUAAUGCAGGGCAGAUCUAGUGAAGGCUACUGGCAGUCAGGGCUGAAUAAAAACCCCAUGUUCAGAGGCAGUCUACCAGGGAGGGCUUGCUGCUGGGGAGGAGAGAGCUGAUGUUUACAUGCCAUGUUUGUGGGCUUCUGGAAGGGAUCCAGCGGGCCAGCUGUGGGACUCGGAAUCCUGGACUAGAUGGGCCUCUGCAUGUGUAACGGAGGGGAAACUUGAACGGAGAGCUUCCUGGCUCUCGGCUGUCUCUGAGAAAGUGCAGUGAGUGGCCAUCUUUCUAGGCCUGGUCACGGGACGUGGUGCUUGCCCACAUUUCCACAGCGUCUGGAGUCCCCAUCCUUGCCUUGCAGCAGAGCAGCCACAAGUCCCCUCUUCAAGGUGUUGUGGAGAAGCAAGGCAGUGUGAUGUAGUGGUUAGGCUGUUGGGCCUGGGAGACCUACCUCACAGGGCGAUUGUGUGGUUAGGAAUGUGAGAGGAGCCGGCCACAUCCACCUGCUUGUUCUCCCUUGGAAGACGGAGGGAAUAUUCAGGCGUUAAUGAAUGUUCUGGCUGCAGCUUCUCUUGGGGCAUUUAUUUGCAAGCUCCAAGAACAUCCCUGAGCAACUGGAAGUCCUGGCGCUUCCUAGAAAAUGCUCUUCCUUUUCUGUGUGUGAAAUCCACGAAGGUGUCCUUUGUAGUCAUAGGGACGCCCAACAGAGUUUUACUGCAGUCCAGACAGACCAAUCUAUUGUAAAAAGGUUGCACACACCGCCAGGCCUCUAGAUCCGCAGCCACAAAUGUCUCCUUUAAUGCUGACGUGACCUUUAUGCCUGACCCAGCUUGUUGCACACAUCUAUGAAAUGCUGCAUGUGAUGCACACCUGUGCGCUGUCAGGGAUGCCUGGGUGGCUUCACAGCAAGGUGCGCAGGGUCCCUUCCUGGCUUUGCACCUGGGAAAACCAAGUUCAGUGGGCAGCUUCACCACAGAAGCUCACAGGGAGCUUGGGGGGGGUACAAAAUGACAUUGGGGGCCCUUCCUUGAAGGCAGCAUGUUGGCUCAAUAUUUAUCUAUUUAUUUAUUUAUGGUUUAUUAGUUGCACCUAUAUUCUCAACGGAGCUCUGGAUAGCAUACAUGUUUUUCCCUCCUCCCUUAAUUGUCACCACAGCCCUGUGAGGUAGACUAGUCUUGGCGAGUGGCCCAGGUGCAGAGCAACGACAAAAAGAUUGUUUUGGGGGAGGGUGCACACAGAUAUAGCAUACAUGUCUCUAAGUUUUGCAAUUGCUAAGCGGAUUCACAAGGCCAAGUGGAAGCCUCACAGGGAUGUCCUGUCUCCCAUUCUCCCUAAACUGUCCUCCUUUCCUUCCCUCUCCAGGAUCCUCCGUGUGAUGCUCCCGCCUUCCCUACAGUGCCACAUACUGGAAAUGCCAGAUUUUGCUCCAGAGAGAACCUUUGCCUCAUGUAGGAGAAGCUUCUUCUUCUUCUUCUUCUUCUUCUUCUUCUUCUUCUUCUUCUUCUUCUUCUUCUUCUGUGAUACCUUGUAGCCAAGUAAGAUUCUCUUCCUUAAACACGUUUUGACAGUGGAGGCCAAUUCUGGAUCGACACACGGGGGGGGGGGGGGGGGACAGAAGCAUCAUCGGUUCCAUGGAGCCACAACUGGAGGCUGCAACCUGUUUUCUGUACUUCAUGAACCAUUUGCGAAGAAGGACGUGUGAUGCAUCUUCAUCCCUUCCUGAAGCAAAUCAUGUUGCCGAUUGGGUGCAUAUUCUGGGCUGGAGAGCCUCCUCAGCACCAAAAGCAGGAGGAGACAAGUGGCUGCUCAAAGUGUGUUCAGCAGGGAAGGGGCUCCCUGCAGUCAAGCUGCGUUCUGCCUCUCAUUUCAGAGCCUCUACAUCACCCAGAAAGUCUUUGGUCAUUUCCAAGACCAGACACUUUCACAGUCAGUCAAAACAUCUGCUAUGGCGAUGGUAGCAUUGUUUUGUUGUUGUUGUUUUUGGAGAAAAUUUGUAGGUUUUUCCACAGGAUUCCUCAAAGCCCCCCCCCCAACAAGCCCCAACUUCUUCAGCUAUUUGUACUUUUCACUUCUUUUCUGCACCACGAUUGAACUCCCUUGCUUAGACCCCCACCCCAGAAGCAGGAGAACUUCUGGGGGGUGCUUUUAAUUCAUGGGGAGGGGCUUUUAGAAACCCCCCUCCCCAGUGGCUGUGUACUUUUCACUUCUUUUCUGCACCACGAUUGAACUCCCUUGCUUAGACCCCCACCCCAGAAGCAGGAGAACUUCUGGGGGGUGCUUUUAAUUCAUGGGUAGGGGCUUUUAGAAACCCCCCUCCCCAGUGGCUGUGUACUUUUCACUUCUUUUCUGCACCACGAUUGAACUCCCUUGCUUAGACCCCCACCCCAAAAGCAGGAGAACUUCUGGGGGGUGCUUUUAAUUCAUGGGGAGGGGCUUUUAGAAACCCCCCUCCCCAGUGGCUGUGUACUUUUCACUUCUUUUCUGCACCACGAUUGAACUCCCUUGCUUAGACCCCCACCCCAAAAGCAGGAGAACUUCUGGGGGGUGCUUUUAAUUCAUGGGGAGGGGCCUUUCGACACCCCCCUCCCCAGUGGCUGUGUACUUUUCACUUCUUUUCUGCACCACGAUUGAACUCCCUUGCUUAGACCCCCACCCCAAAAGCAGGAGAACUUCUGGGGGGUGCUUUUAAUUCAUGGGGAGGGGCUUUUAGAAACCCCCCUCCCCAGUGGCUGUGUACUUUUCACUUCUUUUCUGCACCACGAUUGAACUCCCUUGCUUAGACCCC